GAUGAACGCUGGCGGCGUGCCUAACACAUGCAAGUCGAACGGAGAUUCCGGACGGUUGUUUUCGGAUCGAUGGCUGUAAUUCUUAGUGGCGGACGGGUGAAUCACGCGUGGGCAACCUGCCCUAUUCAGGGGGAUCGCAGCUGGAAACGGCUGGUAAGACCACAUACAUCGGCGAGACCGCAUGGUCUUGCCGGGAGAUGAGCAUUCAGGUAUAGGAUGGGCCCGCGUCCGAUUAGCCAGUUGGCAGGUGAAAAGCCUACCAAAGCAACGAUGGGUACCCGGACAGAGAGGUCGGACGGCCACAUCGGCGCGGAGACACGGCCGAAACUCCUACGGGAGGCGGCAGUGGGGGAUGUUGCAAAAUGGAGGAAACGAUGAUGCAGCGACGCUGGGUGAGUUAAGAAGUAUGUCGGUAAGUAAAGCGCAAGCAGCAGGGAAGAUGAUGACGGUACCUGAUCAAGAAGCCCCGGCUAACUACGUG
rnacentral:rRNA from 1 species